rnacentral:ncRNA from 1 species
UUCCGUAAAGCACCGCGGUUUCUGUGGUGUCUCGUGCUCUCUGAACGGCCCUUGAAAAACCGAGGGAGGCUAUUAAUCUAUGCUGCAUCGUACCGAUAUCCGCAUCAGGUCCUCAAGGUGAACAGCCUCUAGUCGAUAGAAUAAUGUAGGUAAGGGAAGUCGGCAAAUUAGAUCCGUAACUUCGGGAAAAGGAUUGGCUCCAGUGAUCGGGUCGGUUGGCCUGUUCACUGAUACUUGUAUGGUUUCGUUCGUGGCUGGUUGAUGCUAACGCUGAUGUCGGACUAGUGAUGAGACAGUCUUGUGGACGUUUAUAGGUGUGUGCUUUGCUUUCGAGCUUAGUAUCCUGACCGGCCAUUAAAACGGUCGAACUGGAACUGGUACGGACUCGGGGAAUCCGACUGUCUAAUUAAAACAGAGGAGACAGAUGGUCCUUGCGGACGUUUACUGUCUCUGAUUUCUGCCCAGUGCUCUGAAUGUUAAAUCGUAGUAAUUCGAGUAAGCGCGGGUAAACGGCGGGAGUAACUAUGACUCUCUUAAGGUAGCCAAAUGCCUGUCAUCUAAUUAGUGACGCGCAUGAAUGGAUUAACGAGAUUCCCACUGUCCCUAACUACUAUCUAGCGAAACCACAGCCAAGGGAACGGGCUUGGUAAAAAUAGCGGGGAAAGAAGACCCUGUUGAGCUUGACUCUAGUUUGACAUUGUGAAGAGUCAUGAGAGGUGUAGCAUAGGUGGGAGACUUAUGUCGCCAAUGAAAUACCACCACUUUCAUCGAUUCUUUACUUAUUCGGUAAUGUGAGGAUUGGGCCAUCGGCUCUUUCUUCUUUGUGUUAAGUGAAGUCACCUGGUGACAUUACGACUCCCGUCGAA